UACGUAGGGUGCGAGCGUUAAUCGGAAUUACUGGGCGUAAAGCGUGCGUAGGCGGUUCGUUAAGUUCGUUGUGAAAGCCCCGGGCUCAACCUGGGAAUGGCAAUGGAAACUGGCGGGCUGGAGUAUGGCAGAGGGGGGUAGAAUUCCACGUGUAGCAGUGAAAUGCGUAGAGAUGUGGAGGAAUACCGAUGGCGAAGGCAGCCCCCUGGGCCAAUACUGACGCUCAUGCACGAAAGCGUGGGGAGCAAACAGG
rnacentral:rRNA from 1 species